rnacentral:rRNA from 1 species
AGAGUUUGAUCCUGGCUCAGAUUGAACGCUGGCGGCAUGCUUUACACAUGCAAGUCGAACGGCGGCACGGGGGCAACCCUGGUGGCGAGUGGCGAACGGGUGAGUAAUACAUCGGAACGUAUCCUUGAGUGGGGGAUAACGCAGCGAAAGUUGUGCUAAUACCGCAUGAGCUCUGAGGAGGAAAGUGGGGGACCGUAAGGCCUCACGCUGAAGGGGCGGCCGAUGUCCGAUUAGCUAGUUGGUGAGGUAAAGGCUCACCAAGGCUUCGAUCGGUAGCUGGUCUGAGAGGAUGAUCAGCCACACUGGGACUGAGACACGGCCCAGACUCCUACGGGAGGCAGCAGUGGGGAAUUUUGGACAAUGGGGGCAACCCUGAUCCAGCCAUGCCGCGUGAGUGAAGAAGGCCUUCGGGUUGUAAAGCUCUUUCGUGAGGGAAGAAACGGCCAUAGUGAAUAGCUGUGGUUACUGACGGUACCUCGAAGAAGAAGCGACCGGCUAACUACGUGCCAGCCAGCCGCGGU